CCCCCUGCCCGGAGCAGCAGCUGCCCCUCUCCUCCCCGCUCUUCUGCUCCGUCUCUACAUGAAACCGCUCAAGCGCCGGCUCUAAUAUCCUGCCCGAACGGUCUCCUGCUGCCUAAUGACACCUCUGGGACCUCCAUGAAAUCCUCCCCCAAUAAAAGCCCUGUUUCUGCCCCAGGAUGCACUUGUCAGAGCUUGGGGCGAGAGGUUCCUGAGCCUCCUUUCCUGCCACCACCCCGAGCACAGACACUGCAGCAAUGACCUGAUGCCACCACGGGAGUCACCCCGGGGUGGUGAAGCCAAGUUCUGCAGACAGGGACAGCCCAGCUGGGCUGCAGCUGCACCCAGCUGGGCCAGCAGCCAGCAAAGGCUCAUCCAACUCCUUCCCCGACCACUUCCAAAGGCCAGAGGGGUCUGAGCAGCCCCAGGUGAUAAUUCCCCCCUCUCCUCCCACCCCUGAAUACCCCACCAGAGCCCCCCGAAACAGCACGAGUUAAACACUCAGUCUGAGCCUGCAAACUUUUCAUUGAUUUUACUAAAAAGCACAGGUAAUUACUUUCCCGACAAAGACACUCACAUGGUAAUUGUAAGUUAUAAAUAACAAUGAAUAAAUAAUACACACUGGGAAAAUAUCAUCCUGGCUGUUCACGGCCAGGGCUGAGAGCAUAAAUUAAAGAGCUGCAAGGAAAAGCCAAGGAGGAGCAAAAAAAAACCAACAAAGGCCCCAGUGACCAUGGGCUGGGAUCAGUUUUGGAGCAGGGGAUGGGCCCUGGUGUGUGGCAGAGCCCAAGGAAGGCAGGGGGGGACCCUGCACUGCUGAGAAAAGUCCCUUGUGAGGGGGGUAAAGGGAGGAAAUUUGGGGUGGAAAUCAGACUCUGGGGUUGCUGCUGUUGACUUCAGUGACUUCACUUCCCUGGGAGCUGUUGGAGCUUCCCUUGGUGGGGCAGUUUCUGUGGGGUGGAGGGGAAUUCAUGGCAAUAAGACACCUUUUAGGAAACUGAUGCUAAUUUUUUUUUUUUCAAUGGGAAAAAAGGAAAAAGAGGAGCAGUAAGUGGUUUCGUUUGAAGUCUCUAGGCCAGCUGUGCUGAGAAAUUUUCAUCUUGGGACCACUUGGCAGGAGUGAAGCCCACGUCUAGAGAGCAGGAAGCUGAGGGCUCCCGUGGUCCUUGGGCUCCUGGUUCUCCUGGCAAUCGAUGGGAUUUGGGCACUUUAAAAGCUUUUAAGGAUGGAGUCCAAGGUCGGCUCUGGUGCAGCAGGCACCCGGGUGAGCUCUUUGCUCCCAUCCUCUGCUUGGAACCUCUGCCAGCUCCCAAACCACCCAUUUGUCCUCCGUGAUGGAGGGAUGGGAAGAUCAGCUCCGUCUCCAACCGCGGUUUAAAACCUGCUGAGCAUCUGCCCUGGCUGAGGAGCGAGUAGUAAAUGCCAGUGGCUCCAGGCUCAGCUGCCCACGGCAGAGUUUGGCCAUUCAGGGAAAAGUGCUCUCUUGAUCCAGACAGCUGGGGAGGGACUGUCACCAAAACCAGCCCCUUUUCCUUCUCCAGCCUUGUGCUGAGCUUUGGCUGCAGCCUGUGAGCACUGGGGAGUGCUCAGAAAAAGCAGCACCUCUGUGAGGAGCUGUUCCCACAGGGAUGGGGCUCAGUUGUUCCUACAGGGAUGGGGCUUAUUUAUUCCCACUGGGAAGGGGGUUCAGCCAGACCACAGCAUCCAAACCAGGCAGUGGGGAUGUUGCCCUCCUGACUCAGAGAGGGAGUUGACACCUUUUCUAAUGGUGGCCAAGCCAGGAUCCAACCACAGCUUCAGCCCUGUGGGCUGCCAGGAUGGAUGCAGGGUGCUGGAGCAGGUGAUGCUGGUGCAGGUGGAUCAGGGAAGGAUGAAUUGUCAGUGUUGGGGAUGUCCAUGGCAUCCGUGGGGUGGACUGAAGGACACGUGGGGCGUGUGGGUGGGUGCUUUGUGGAUUGAGGCCCCCCUGGUGAUGUUUAGGGGCUCCUGAGCAGGGAUUUCUCUUGGGUUUUGACCCCCUGAUAACCUCAAGGUGUGGAUGUGACCCAAAACCUCUGCUGGGGGAAGACUCCAAGCACCCCAAAAGCCCAUCUGUGGGGUGGGAGGGAUCCAGCAUUCCCCAAACUCACACAAAAAACUGACUUCCAUGACCAUCAAAGCGUCCCAAACCUGGUUUCAAUCACACUCCUUGAUUUCCACGCCUGUAAUUUCUCCUAAUGCCUCCCUCCAUCCUCCCCCCCCCCUUUUCCCUCUUGCUGAGCCGUACCCUGACAGCUCCCAGCCUCCCUCCCUUCCCUUUUUUCUUUCUUUAACUGUCUUCCCAGCGUGAUCCAUCACCCUGGCUGCAGCAGGGGGGGAUUCAUGGGAGAGGCUGAGAUGAAUCUCUGGUUCCUUAUAAGGCCCGAGCGAAGGAAUCUCCGGCGAGCGGAGCCCACGAUGUCCAGGAAACUCAAUCCCUCCUCGGGACAGAGCCCCAGGAAAAUCAUAAGGCAGUAAAAAUAGACCAUGGUUUGCCUCCCCGAGAGAGAAAGAAGGUUUUACACAAUUUAAAAUAGCCCUGGCAAGACCAGGCAGGGGGGUGGAGAAUAAUGGCUCCUCGUGGCACGUAUAAUAAAGGACAUAAAUACGUCCAGGGC